CGCGGGCGAGCAGGCGGCGUGCGGGCCUAGCAGGCGGGGCGCGGGGCGGGCGAGCAGGCGGGGUUGGCCACGGGGCCCGCGCGGGGCUGCGCCGGCGCGGCAAGCAGGCGGCGGGAGCAGAGGCCGCCGGCGGUAGGCGUUCCGCGCGCUGGAGCAAGCCGCCGGCCGGAGCAGAGGUCCAAGGAUGUAGCCAUGUCAAGCCUAAAUCAGAUUCGGAUAUAUUAUGGUAUGGGAGAGGCCGUUAAUGGGCCGUUGGGGGCUGAUUUGAGUCCGUUUGCUCAUAUCACCGUUGAACAUCCAAACCCUGACCGUGCGAGCAUAAGGGAUCUCAAGGAUUGGUUCGUGGCAAUGUUUCAACUAGAUGGAAAUAUGUAUUCGGUCACUGUUCAAUGCCUGUAUAUUACGGACAUUAAUCCAGUCAUAUAUGUGCUGCGAGUUGCAGAUCGAACUUAUAAGUGGAGGAAAUGGGUAGAGUGGUGCAGGCGGUGCAAUGUUCAGUUAACUAUUCUGGUCCAGCCAUGUCGAAAAGAGGUGGUCGGUGAGGCAAGCUCAUUGCAGCCGGCCGAGAAAGAGAGCGGUUGCUGUGGUGAUGUGCCACUGGACCAAUUAGAGAUCAGAGAGGAAGGUGGCACUCAGAGGGAGGAAAUUGAUAUUGAUGGUGUCGCUGAUGGUGGAGAAAGAGUCCAAGGGAUUGUUGAAGAUGUAGCAGCCGUUGAUCGCAACACCAUUGAAGAAGAGAAAAACCUGAAUAUGGAGGACAACAUGGACGAUGAAGAUGAAGAAGAAGAUGAUAAUAUGGCCAGGCAGGCUCCUAUUCCUGAAGAAUGGAAUAGGUCAGAUGUAUCGAGUAUGGAAGCUAUGGACAUGCAUGACUCUCGGUACCAAUAUGGUUGCAACAUGAUUCAGCAGGAGCAAUUAUUUCCAAAUAAGCAAGAAUUAAAGGACACGGUGCCACGGUGGGCGGUGAUGUCAUUAAGAGAGGUGUUUGUGAAGGUUUCAAGCCCAUCAAAAUGCAGUGUGAAGUGCAGAGUGCCCGGCUGCACCUUCUAUGUACAUGCAUACAAGCCGAAGAAUGAGAUCCAUUGGAUUGCUUCUAUAGUGCAGAAUCACGGUUGCACGCUACAAAACUUAGGGAAGAGGCAUCAUAACUUGACAGCGUCUAUGAUUGCGAAUGAACUAUGUAGUGAGAUAAUUGAGAAGAGGGACAUUGAGUGCUCCUUUAUCCAGCGAGCAGUUCGUAGACAAUACAAAUAUGAAAUUACAUAUCAACAAGCUUGGCGGGCGAAACAAAUUGCACUCGAGAAGCGCUGGGGCUCAUAUGAGGCAUCAUAUUGCAACCUUCCUCGUGUGCUUGAAAUUCUGAAGGAAAGGAACCCUGGCACGUACACCGCAUUUAAGGAAUCGGUCUACAAUGGACAACCAAAUGUGUUUAGACAUGCUUUCCUAUCUUUGGGCCCUUGCAUUGAGUCAUUCAAGCAUUGUCGACCCGUACUUUGUGUGGACGGGACCUUCUUGACGGGGAAGUAUAAAGGGCAGAUACUAACUGCAAUUGGAGUUGAUGCAAACCAACAGAUACUUCCGUUAGCUUUUGCCUUCGUUGAGAAUGAGAACAAGGAAAGCUGGCUAUGGUUUCUUAGGCAUCUUAAGGUUGGUGUGGUGCAGGAUCGGCCAAACGUUUGUCUCAUUCAUGAUCGACUUGCUGGCUUAUUAUCGGCGGUGAAGUCUUUGCAAGAGGAUGCAGAUGAGCCGUUUCCUUGGCCUGACCUGCAGAGUAGGUGGUGCAUGCAUCAUAUGGAGGUGAAUUUCUAUAAGAAAUUUAGAAGCAAGAAGUUGAUGGAUAUGUUCAAGCUAUUGUGCUCCCAAAACCAAGAGGGCAAGUUUAAUGCACUGUGGAAAGAGUUAGAUGACCUGACUCAGGCUCACAUCAAUGAGAUGAGUAAGAAGUCACCGACAGAUGAAAACCCCAGGGUGACACCUGGACUACCGCCGCUCGGUGAAGGGCUAGAUGAUCCAAAUGUGCGACGGCGAAUGGGCCGGAACAUCAAGUGCUUCUCUCACUGGAUAGAGGCGGAGCCCAAGGAGAAGUGGUCAUUGCUCUUUGACAGAUUAGGUGCUAGAUGGGGCAUCAUGACUUCAAACCUACCAGAGGUUUAUAAUUGGGUUAUAAGAGGUUUGCGUGGUCUGCCUCUAAUUGCAAUCAUAGAAGGUAUGUUGUAUGGCAUCAUAAAGUACUAUCAAAAGCGCCAUGCAGCGGCAGUUCUUCAUAGCGCAACAGUGCAGACACCCUUUUGCAACAAGAUGUAUAAAUGGCUAGAGAAAUCUAUUACUAAGUCAUCACAACACAUAGUGCUUGCAAUGGGUACGCAUGACAACCGUUUUCAGAUAACUGUGAGAGCAAAAGGAGUAGAAAGGGAGACAACCCUUGUCACUCAUGAAGUAAACCUCGGGCGGCAGUUUAAUGGAUGGGUGGAAUGCACAUGUAAUAAGCCAAAGCUUUUACAUGUUCCUUGCUCACAUGUGCUGGCCUCGCUUUCCCAUGUUGGAGUUUCGAGUAUGGGUUAUAUCUCUCCCUUUUACUUGAAAGAAAACGUCGAGCAAACAUGGACUGGUGAGUUUUAUGGAUUCAUGGCACGUGGACAAUUCUCAGUUUACAAUACAGACUUGCCAAUAUGCCUUCCGCCAAUGGACUUGCUUCGUGACUGCCAUGGAAAAGGGGGACGUCCUCAAACAAGGAGAAGCUCGUGGGGGAUCCUGUCUUAACACUAGUUUUCAGGAAGCAGGAGUACGAGGAAGGGCUCCGCAGUGAGAUUAUCAAAACCACCAAACCAGCUGAAUCCUCUCACCAGAGAAAUCAAGGAAAGCGAUGGCACUCCGGCAAGCCCUCGGAUGGUCAGAAGGGGAGGUGAUGCGGCCCGAGUCCAAGCCUUGCUCGCGGCUGAUGCGACAGACUGCUGGCAUCUUCACCCUUGCCUUCUGGGUGCUCGGCCGCCUGCACUACGGUCCAAGAAUAACGGUCCCAAGGAGCCUCAGGUGGGCGUCAUGCGGAGCAAUCUCAACGAGCUCAACAUCAGCCCUGCUCGUGCGGCUCUUCAGCCCGGAGUGCGAACCGCAGAAUAUAGCAGCUUAUGACAAGCAGGAACACAAGGCUGAAUAGCUUGAAUUCAGGCCACAUCACUCUUCUCCAUCAGUAUCAGAUUAUGUGGUUUACUGAUUCAGCCUAGGACAUGCUUUUCUGUCCUACUACUUCCCUGUGCGUUUGCUAUGCAGAAAUUACCCUCGCCUGCAUGGCUGAACCUGUAGGAUCAUGGUUGAUCUGUAUGCAAAUCAAUAUGCUGUCACUCUGACUGAUAACAAUAUGCAAGCAACGAUUUUUCUCU